UGCUCUUGAAGCACCUGUGCCAGAAUUUCUCU
rnacentral:piRNA from 1 species